rnacentral:pre_miRNA from 1 species
ACAACAUUCGGGCCUUCGGUCUAGAGAACAAUAUCACCCGGUCGGUGGAAAAUCUUCCCUGUGUCGU